CUAGCCUCAGUUCGGAUCGGAGUCUGCAACCCGACUCCGUGAAGCUGGAUUCGCUAGUAAUCGCGCAUCAGCCAUGGCGCGGUGAAUACGUUCCCGGGCCUUGUACACACCGCCCGUCAAGCCAUGGAAGCCGGGGGUGCCUGAAGUGUGCAGCCGCAAGGAGCGCCCUAAGGUAAAACCGGUGACUGGGGCUAAGUCGUAACAAGGUAAC
rnacentral:rRNA from 1 species